rnacentral:rRNA from 1 species
GACGAACGCUGGCGGCGUGCUUAACACAUGCAAGUCGAACGGAAAGGCCCUGCUUUUGUGGGGUGCUCGAGUGGCGAACGGGUGAGUAACACGUGAGUAACCUGCCCUUGACUUUGGGAUAACUUCAGGAGACUGGGGCUAAUACCGGAUAGGAGCUCCUGCUGCAUGGUGGGGGUUGGAAAGUUUCGGCGGUUGGGGAUGGACUCGCGGCUUAUCAGCUUGUUGGUGGGGUAGUGGCUUACCAAGGCUUUGACGGGUAGCCGGCCUGAGAGGGUGACCGGCCACAUUGGGACUGAGACACGGCCCAGACUCCUACGGGAGGCAGCAGUGGGGAAUAUUGCACAAUGGGCGGAAGCCUGAUGCAGCAACGCCGCGUGCGGGAUGACGGCCUUCGGGUUGUAAACCGCUUUCGCCUGUGACGAAGCGUGAGUGACGGUAAUGGGUAAAGAAGCACCGGCUAACUACGUG